GGCUACUGAUCGAGGAGUGUCUGAAAAGCUUGGAUCAUCGGAGUGACUAAAUCUAAUCAUCAACUUCGGCAAAGGACAAAUCGCAUAGGAGAUCUCGUCAAGGAAUAUCGCAAAUCAGCUCAAGAGCAAAGGGGAACUAGAUUGGAUAAAGGAAAGGAGAAAGCAAACG